CCUACGGGUGGCAGCAGUCGAGAAUCAUUCACAAUGGGGGAAACCCUGAUGGUGCGACGCCGCGUGGGGGAAUGAAGGUCUUCGGAUUGUAAACCCCUGUCAUGUGGGAGCAAAUUAAAAAGAUAGUACCACAAGAGGAAGAGACGGCUAACUCUGUGCCAGCAGCCGCGGUAAUACAGAGGUCUCAAGCGUUGUUCGGAAUCACUGGGCGUAAGGCGUGCGUAGGCUGUUUCGUGAGUCGUGUGUGAAAGGCGCGGGCUCAACCCGCGGACGGCACAUGAUACUGCGAGACUAGAGUAAUGGAGGGGGAACCGGAAUUCUCGGUGUAGCAGUGAAAUGCGUAGAUAUCGAGAGGAACACUCGUGGCGAAGGCGGGUUCCUGGACAUUAACUGACGCUGAGGCACGAAGGCCAGGGGAGCGAAAGGGAUUAGAUACCCUAGUAGUC
rnacentral:rRNA from 1 species